UCGCCCGUCGCUACUACCGAUUGAAUGGUUUAGCAAGGUCCUCGGAUUGAUGCCAUUGUAGUUGCUUCGGCAGCUCGACCGGUGUUGAAAAGACGACCGAACUUGAUCAUUUAGAGGAAGUAAAAGUCGUAACAAGGUUUCCGUAGGUGAACCUGCGGAAGGAUCAUUA
rnacentral:rRNA from 1 species